AGAGAAGGUUACUGAGUUGUUGAAAUUGUUGAAUCUUGGCAGAGCCAAGCUAGACUGUAUUGGUUCCUCAAUGGAUUUCAGAUAUCUCAAGAAAUCCUACUGAUUUUUUUUUGGUAGAUUAAUUAGGAAAAUUAUUCAAUUCAUUGAAUUGUACAAACUACAUUAACUCAUGUAAACAUUAAUGAGGUCAAUGAAUAUAUUUAAGCAAU
rnacentral:misc_RNA from 1 species